UUAUAUCUUCUUCUUGGAUCUAUCCCUUGAUCAUUAUGUAGUGUCCUUUGUCUCUUCUAAUAGUCUUUAUUUUAAAGUCUAUUUUGUCUGAUAUGAGAAUUGCUACUCCUGCUUUCUUUUGGUUUCCAUUUGCAUGGAAUAUCUUUCUCCAUCCCCUUACUUUCAGUCUGUAUGUAUCUAGGUCUGAAGUGGGUCUCUUGUAGACAGCAUAUAUAUAUGGGUCUUGUUUUUGUAUCCAUUCAGCCAAUCUGUGUCUUUUGGUGGGAGCAUUUAGUCCAUUUACAUUUAAGGUAAUUAUCAAUAUGUAUGUUCCUAUUCCCAUUUUCUUAAUUGUUUUGGGUUCGUUAUUGUAGGUCUUUUCCUUCUCUUGUGUUUCUUGCCUAGAGAAGCUCCUUUAGCAUUUGUUGUAAAGCUGGUUUGGUGGUGCUGAACUCUCUCAACUUUUGCUUGUCUGUAAAGGUUUUAAUUUCUCCAUCAAAUCUGAAUGAGAUCCUCGCUGGGUAGAGUAAUCUUGGUUGUAGGUUUUUCCCUUUCAUCACUUUAAAUAUAUCCUGCCAGUUCCUUCUGGCAUGCAGAGUUUCUGCUGAACGAUCAGCUGUUAACCUUAUGGGGAUUCCCUUGGGUGUUAUUUGUUGUUUUUCCCUUGCUGCUUUUAAUAUGUUUUCUUUGUAUUUAAUUUUUGACAGUUUGAUUAAUAUGUGUCUUGGCAUAUUUCUCCUUGGAUUUAUGCUGUAUGGGACUCUCUGUGCUUCCUGGACUUGAUUAACUAUUUCCUUUCCCAUAUUAGCAAAGUUUUCAACUAUAAUCUCUUCAAAUAUUUUCUCAGUCCCUUUCCUUUUCUCUUCUUUUGGAACCCCUAUAAUUCGAAUGUUGUUGUGUUUAAUGUUGUCCCAGAGGUCUCUGACAGUGUCCUCAAUUCUUUUCAUUCUUUUUUCUUUAUUCUGCUCUGCAGUAGUUAUUUCCAAUAUUUUAUCUUCCAGGUCACUUAUCCGUUUUUCUGCAUCAGUUAUUCUGCUAUUGAUCCCUUCUAGAGAAUUUUUAAUUUCAGUUAUUGUGUUGUUCCUCAUUGUUUGUUUGCUCUUAUUUCUUCUAGGUCCUUGUUAAACGUUUCUUGUAUUUUCUCCAUUCUAUUUCCAAGAUUUUGGAUCAUCUUUACUAUCAUUAUUCUGAAUUCUUUUUCCAGUAGACUGCCUAUUUCCUCUUCAUUUGUUAGGUCUGGUGGGUUUUUACCUUGCUCCUUCAUCUGCUGUGUGUUUCUUUGUCUUCUCAUUUUGCUUAACUUACUGUGUUUGGGGUCUACUUUUCACAGGCUGUAGGUUCAUAUUUUCCUUGUUUUUCGUGUCUGCCCCCAGUGGCUAAGGUUUAUUUAGUGGGUUGUGUAGGCUUCCUGGUGGAGGGGAGUAGUGCCUGUGUACUGGUGGAUGAGGCUGGAUCGUGUCUUUCUGGUUGGCAGGUCCAUGUCUUGUGAUGUGUUUUGGGGUGUCUGUGAGCUUAUUAUGAUUUUAGGCCGCCUCUAUGCUAAUGGGUGGUGUUGUGUUCCUGUCUUGCUAGUUGUUUGGCAUAGGAUGUCCAGCACUGUAGCUUUCUGGUCGUUGAGUGAAGCUGGGUCUUGGCGUUGAGAUGGAGAUCUCUGGGAAAUUUUCGCCAUUUGUUAUUAUGUGGAGCUGGCAGGUCUCUGGUGGACUGAUGUCCUGAACUGGGCUCUCCCACCUCAGAGGCACAGCCCUGAUGUCUGACUGGAGCACUAAGAGCCUGUCAUCCACAUGGCUCAGAAUAAAAGUGAGAAAGAAAGGAAGAAAAAGAUAAAAUAAAAUAAAAAGUUAUUAAAAUAAAAACCAAUAAAUAAUUAUUUAAAAAAAAAUUAAAGUAAUUAAAAAAAAGAAAGAAGGAACGAUGAGAACAACCAAACCAAAAAACAAAUCCACCAAUGAAAACAAGCGCUGAAAACUGUACUAAAAAAAAAAAAAAGGACCGACAGAACCCUAGGACAAGUGGUAAAAGCAAAGCUAUACCGACAAAAUCACACACAGAAGCAUACACAUACACACUCACAAAAAGAGAAAAAGGCAAAAAUAUAUGUAUAUCAUUGCUCCCAAAGUCCACCUCCUCAAUUUGGGAUGAUUCGUUGUCUAUUCAGGUAUUCCACCGAUGCAGGGUACAUCAAGUUGACUGUGGAGAUUUAAUCCACGGCUCCUGAGGCUGCCGGGAGAGAUUUCCCUUUCUUGUCUUUGUUAGCACAGCUCCUGGGGUUCAGCUUUGGAUUUGGCCCCGCCUCUGCAUGUAGGUCAUUUGAGGGCAUCUUUUCUUCACUCAGACAGGAUGGGGUUAAAGGAGCAGCUGAUUCCGAGGCUCUGGCUCACUCGGGCCGGGUGGAGGGAGGGGCAUGGAGUGCGUGGCGAGCCUGCGGCAGCAGAGGCCAUCGUGACGUUGCACCAGCCUGAGGUGCGCUGUGCGUUCUCCUGGUGAAGUUGUCCCUGGAUCACAGGACCCUGUCAGUGGCGGGCUGCACAGGCUCCCGGUAGGGAUGUGUGUGUGGAUAGUGACCUGUGCUCGCACACAGGCUUCUUGUUGGCGGCAGCAGCAGCCUUAGCGUCUCAUGCCCGUUUCUGGCGUCCACGCUGAUAGCUGCGGCUCACGUCUCUGGAGCUCCUGUAAGCAGCGCUCUGAAUCCCCUCUCCUCGCACACCAGGAAACAAAGAGGCAAGCAAAAGUAUCUUGCCUCUUUGGCAGUUCCAGACCUUUUCCCAGACUCCCUCCUGGCUAGCUGUGGUACACUAGCCCCCUUCAGGCUGUGUUCACGCAGCCAACACCAGUCCUCUCCCUGGGAUCCCACUGAAGCCGGAGCCUCAGCUCCCAGCGCCCACCCGUCCCGGCUGGUGAGCAGACAAGCCUCUCGGGCUGGUGAGUGCUGGUCGACACCUAUCCUCUGUGUGGGAAUCUCUCCGCUUCGCCCUCCGCACCCCUGUUGCUGCGCUCUCCUCCGUGGCUCUGAAGAUUCCCCGCUCUGUCACAUGGAGUCUUCACCCACAAAGGGCCUUCCUAGUGUGUGGAAACCUUUCCUGCUUCACAGCUCCCUCCCGCUUGUGCAGGUCCCGUCCCUAUUAUUUUGUCUCUGUUUUACCUUUUCUCUUUUGCCCUACCCAGGUAUGUGGGGAGUUUCUUGCCUUUUUGGAGGUCUGAGGUCUUGUGCCAGCGUUCAGUAGGUGUUCUGUAGGAAUUGUUCCACAUGUAGACGUAUUUCUGAUGUAUUUGUGGGGAGGAAGGUGAUCUCCACAUCUUACUCUUCCACCAUCUUGAAGCUCCUCCUAGCAUUUGGCUUAUGUAUUGAGGUGCUCCUAUGUUGGGUGCAUAUAUAUUUAUAAUUGUUAUUUCUUCUACUUGGAUUGAUCCCUUGAUCAUUAUGUAGUGUCCUUCCUUGUCUCUUGUAACAUUCUUUAUUUUAAAGUCUAUUUCAUCUGAUAUGAGUAUUGCUACUCCAGCUUUCUUUUGAUUUCCAUUUGCAUGAAGUAUCUUUUUCCAUCCCCUCAUUUUCAGUCUGUAUGUGUCCUUAGGUCUGAAGUGGGUGUCUUUUAGACAGCAUUUAGAUGGGUAUUGUUUUUGUAUCCACUCUGUGAGCCUGUGUCUUUUGGUUGGAGCAUUUAAUCCAUUUACAUUUAAGGUAAUUAUUGAUAUGUAUGUUCCUAUUACCAUUUUCUUAAUUGUUUUGGGUUUGUUUUUGUAGGUCCUUUUCUUCUCUUGUGUUUCCUACUUGGAGAAGUUCCUUUAGCAUUUGUUGUACAGCUGGUUUGGUGGUGCUGAAUCCUCUUAGCUUUUGCUUGUCUGUAAAACUUUUGAUUUGUCUGUCAAAUCUGAAUGAGAUCCUUGCCAGGUAGAGUAAUGUUGGUUGUAGGUUCUUCUCUUUCAUCAUUUUAAAUAUAUCAUGCCACUUUCUCUGGCUUAAAGAGUUUCUGCUGAGAAAUCAGCUGUUAACCUUAUGAGAGUUCCCUUGCAUGUUAUUUGUCAUUUUUCCUUUGUUGCUUUUAAUAAUUCUUCUAUGUCUUUAAUUUUUGUCAGUUUGAUUACUGUGUGUCUCAGCCUGUUUCUCCUUGGGUUUAUCCUGCCUGGGAUGCUCUGAGCUUCCUGGACUUGGGUGGCUAUUUCCUUUCCCAUGUUAGGGAAGUUUUUGACUAUAAUCUCCUCAAAUAUUUUCUCAGGUCCUUAUUCUCUCUCUUCUUCUUCUGGGACCUCUAUAAUGCGAAUGUUGUUGUGUUUAAUGUUGUUCCAGACGUCUCUUAGGCUGCCUUCAUUUCUUUUCAUUCCUUUUUUGUUUAUUCUGUUCCACAGCAGUGAAUUCCACCAUUCUGUCUUCCAGGUCACUUAUCCAUUCUUCUGCCUCAGUUAUUCUGCUAUUGAUUCCUUUUAGUGUAUUUUUCAUUUCAGUUAUUGUAUUCUUCAUCUCUGUUUGUUUGUUCUUUAAUUCUUCUAGGUCUUUGUUAAACAUUUCUUGCAUCUUCUCGAUCUUUACCUCCAUUCUUUUUCCAAAAUCCUGGAUCAUCUUUACCAUCAUUAUUCUGAAUUCUUUUUCUGGAAGGUUGCCUGUCUCCACUUCAUUUAGUUGUUUUUCUGGGGUUUUAUCUUGUUCCUUCAUCUGGUAUAUAGUCUUGUGCCUUUUCAUUUUGUCUAUCUUUCUGUGAAUGUGGCUUUUGUUCUACAGGCUGCAGUAUUGUAGUUCUUCUUGCUUCUGCUGUCUGCCCUCUGGUGGAUGAGGCUAUCUAAGAGGCUUGUGCAAGCUUCCUGAUGGCAGGGAGUGGUGGUGGGUAGAACUGGGUGUUGCUCCAGUGGGCUGAGCUCAGUAAAACUUUAAUCCGCUUGUCUGCUGAUGGGUGGGGCUGAUUUCCCUUCCUGUUGGUUGUUUGGCCUGAGGUUAGCCAGCACUGGAGGCUGUAGGCUCUUUGGUGGGGCUCAUGGUGGACCCUGGAAGUGCUCACACCAAGGAGUACUUCCCAGAACUUCUGCUGCCAGUGUCCUUGUCCCCAUGGUGAGACACAGCCACCCCCUGCCUCUGCAGGAGACCCUCCAACACUAGCUGGUACUUCUGGUACAGUCUCCUGUGGGGUCACUGCUCCUUCCCCCUGGGUCCUGAUGCACACACUACUUUGUGGGUGCCCUCCAAGAGUGGAGUCUCUGUUUCCCCCAGUCCUGUUGAAGUCCUGCAAUCAAAUCCCGCUAGCCUUCAAAGUCUGAUUCUCUGAGAAUUCCUCCUCCAUUGCCAGACCCCCAGGUUGGGAAGCCUGACAUGGGGCUCAGAACCUUCACUCCAGUGGGUGGACUUCUGUGGUAUAAGUGUUCUCCAGUUUGUGAGUCACCCACCCAGCAGUUAUGGGAUUUGAUUUUAUUGUGAUUGUGCCCCUCCUACCAUCUCACUGCGGCUUCUCCUUUGUCUUUGGAUGUGGGGUAUCUUUUUCGGUGAGUUCCAGUGUUUUCCUGUUAAUGAUUAUUCAUCAGUUAGUGGUGAUUCCCAUGCUUUUGCAAGAGGGGGUGAGUGCAUGUCCUUCUACUCCACCAUCUUGAUCCAAUCUGCCCACCUUUCCUUGAUUAUUAUUUUUUUCUUUGAAAACUGAUCCCUUGCUAAAAUAUAGUUUUGAGCAUGGUAAAAUCACUACUGUCAUAUGAAUGUAACGUAAACGCGUGUGGAAGAUUUUAUUUUUAACUUACUAAUUAAUAAGGGGACUAAUAAAUUAAUGCGAUUCACAGAUUAAAUGUGAAUUUGACUUAUAGAUAUUUAUAUUCUCUUUCAGACAAAAUCUAUGUGGAUCACUAUGAGCAGGAAUUAUUUGCACUGACCUGGACAGGAAACAUUUGCAUUACCAGUAGUUUUCUACAAGUGAAAUUUUAUCCCCCACGGAGUUGUAAGAUAGCUUAGUCAAUCAAACACAAUCAAAGGGGUAUAGUAUCUGAUAACCUUUGGGUCAUGAGACAAUGUUUGGAAUUCAACUGAAAGAACACCCAGUAAUCUCUUUUGCCCAUUUCCAGUGUUUGACAGAAUUUCAUGGUAGGCUUUUAAUGUGAGCAAUGUAAAAGGGUUUUUAUCCAUGAGAUAUAUAGAACGCCUAUAUAUUACUAAGAAAGAGACAACUGACCGAAAAGAAAGAUGGGAAAAGGAUGUUAAACAUGCAAUUUACAAAAUAUCCAAGAAAAAUGAAAAGAGGCUCCACCUCAUUAGUAAUCAAAGAAAUGCAAAUUGAAACUACCAUGAGAUACUAUUUCACACCUACAUGGUAAAAUUUGUAAUAAUUUAAAAGUCGAGCAUCAGCAAGAAUGUGGAGUCCCAGGAAUUCUCAUACACUGGUGGUAGGAGUUUGAAUUGGUAAGCUCACUUUGGAAGGAAUUUUGGCAAAAGCUAGUUAAGUUGAAGAUGUGUGUACCCUAUGACAAGAGUAGGUACAUUCCCCAGAGAAACUCUUGUACACAUCCAUAGAGAGACAUGUACAAAAAUGGUCAUGGCAACCUUAUCUGUAAGAGCGAAUCACUAGAAAUAACCUAAAUGUCCAUCAUUUCAUAGAGAAAAUAAAUGGUAUUGUAUUUCUGUAUUCAUACAAUUAAUACUAUACAGCAUUAAAAUAAAUGAAGUUGAGUUAUAUAUAGCAAUAUGGAUACAUCCCAAAAACGAUGUUGAAUGAAAGAAGCAAGUUGUACAAGAAUCAGUGCAACUUGUUAAAGGUUUAAAACAUGUGAAAACAGUAUUACUACUUGACAAGGACAUAUGUGAUAAAAGUGUAUAAACGUGUGAAAGAGAAUGACACAUACAAACUUCAGGGCAGUGGUUUCCUCUGGGAUGCAGGGAAGGGAGUGAGAUUAGGGAGGGUGACAUCAAUGGUAUCUGAAAUGUUUUAAUUUUUAAUACAAGUGAGGGAUAUGAGGAUGUUUGUUAUACUGUCUUUUGAUACUUUUAUAUGCCUGAAAUAAUAAUAAUACUUGUACUUCAUUUCCCUAUGGUUUAAUAAUUGAGAAAAUAAAGCUUUUCCCCUCACAGUUAGAAAAAAAUUGCACUUCUCUAAAGAACCUCUAAACUACUUGACAAAUGAAACAAAAGCAAUUAGUUGGCCCUUUUUGAGAGUCAGUCCAGUGUACGCAUUAUUCCUUGGAAUUUGGAUCUUAAUUUGAGUGCAGAGGAAGCCACUGAAAGGUAGUUAGCUGAGGGGUGAUCUCAUUCUUGGCUUGCAAGGACUUUUGGAACUUGCUUCCUUCUUUCUUUCCCAUCCUCAUCUGCCUGCCCCAGCUUCAGUUUUUCUUCUCGUAACUUCACACUUCUGGUAGGUACAUGCUGCUACUUCACACAACAGUGCAGUUGCUCAUGGUUUCCUUUGCUUAUGACACCUUUCUCCCUCUUUCUUUCUGGUUAACCAACCCAUGCUCUUCCUUCCACAGCCAGCUCAGGCAAUGUUCUCUUUCCCUUAGGAAGUUUUCCUUGUUCUCUUAAGAUGAGUUAUGUUCACCUCUGAAUUCCCAGAGCUCCCUUGGAUAUUUGUGUCAAAACGUAUUCCGUCUUUGCCAUUCCAGCUCUCAGCAAAGUGCCUGAGUUAGACGUUUAGGAAAGAGGAGUGCUGUUUGAGGAAGAAUGUGUAAACUGUGUGUUUGCUCAAGCCCUCCCCACACUACUGGUUUCUAAUAAUGGCUCAAUGGUCAUAAAGUAACAUUUCAAUGUGAAUUAGCUCCUCUCAGCUUUUAUAAGACUUGGUUAAGAACUUGGAAAAGAGACUCUAAGAAAGGGGUAGGAUGGGGUGGAGGGGAGGAGUGAGGUUCAGAUCACAGUGCUGGGUCUGGACCCAUUGCCACUCAGCAAGCUGGAGAUGGGGUGGAUAAGAACACAAGUCUCUCAACUCCAGGCCAGUGCUUGUCCUUUUGUUCUCCCUUCUGUGGCUUGAGAAAACAGCUGCUCUCUAUCAUCUUAUUCAAAUCUCUUCCAAUACUUGAAACAGGAAAUGACUCUCCAGUUCUGGGUAGUGAACCUGGGUCGCUGAAGCAGGUGGCUUGGAAGAACCUAAGAUAAGAGGCACCGGAGAAUGGACAAACCUCAGGAAAGCAAUAUUAAACUUGAACAGGGUCUCAGAAAGGUUUCUGUAGUUGAAUCAAGUUAUACCAAGUUUGGCUCCAAAGGUCUAGUGACUCUUCUAAACAUACACACACAUCUGGAUAUUGGAUUGAAUCCCAGUAGAUCCAUCCUUGAGGAUCAUCUAGGGACAGACUUUUGCUCAAAAAGGAAAGAAAAGAAUGAUGAAUUAUCACAUAGAUGAUGUGGUCAGGUGUUCAUCAUUAGAAGGCACAAUAAGACAGGGGCCAUAUACAAGAUAAGGCUUCCAUAUCAUCAAGAGAAAUGUGGAUGGUUGUACUUAAUUAUCUUUGAAUCUCAGGGCCAAACCAAGGCCUGGAAUAUGGCAAGUUUUCACUAAGUUUUGCUCAAUGAAGGGAUGAACUAUGGAGAAAUCUCAUGACUGGAGAAAGCCUUAUCAGUCACAUCUCAUAAAUCUGGUUUGGAAGAUUGUUGGUGGCAAAAUAAUAAACAAGACUUCCUGCAAGAGAUUUUGACAUCAAGCUGACCAGAAACAUGCCAGAUCCAUAUUACCAGCUGGAUUAAAACCAAGGAAAGGCUCAACAGCAUUUUUAGUGGUUAAGAAUUAGGGUUUUUAGGCUAUGAUGGUGGCUUUCCAGCAGUGCCCAAUUUAACCAUCCCUUUCCCCCAUAGAAAUACUCCCAAACACAAAAUAAGACUUAAAGUUGCAACAGUCUGGAAGGAAUGACUUCCAUGAAUAAUUUGCAGGUCUUUGGGAUGUUUUUUUCUCUGACCACAUCAUUGAUGGGGUGAGGUUGAGAAAUAACUUACUUUGACUUCAAAAAAAGAACUACAGGGGCUUCCCUGGUGGCACAGUGGCUGAGAGUCCGCCUGCCGAUGCAGGGGACGCGGGUUUGUGUCCUGGUCGGGGAAGAUCCCACAUGCUGCGGAGUGGCUAGGCUCGUGAGCCAUGGCCGCUGAGCCUGUGCGUCUGGAGCCUGUGCUCCACAGCGGGAGAGGCCACAACAGUGAGAGGCCCACGUACCGCAAAAAAAAAAAAAAAAAAAAAAAAAAAAAAAAAAGAACUACAGCACUAGGCUGGAAUGUCUACCUCUGUCCCAGAGUGUCUGGCCUCCCAUUGCUUGGGAACAGCCUUCUGAAGUAGGCACUCACUUCCCACUGUUCCCACUGUCCUCCCUGGCUCUCUUUCUCCAUCCAUUUGGUAACUAUUACUCCCAAUGAUGUACCAUCCUGGGAAGGCAAGUUGGCAGUGGGAAGAGCAUAGGAGGAAGUGUUUUAGGAAUGCAGCACUCUGGGGAAAAUGCUUAAUUAGGGCUAGACAUUUGAAUUUUUAUAAAUUUUUCUUUUUGUAUUAUUUUAAUUUACCAUUGCAAGCACCAAUACUAUUUAACAUUUAUAUCUAACUACAGAGCAAAGGGAGGUGAGUGUCUGAGUAUAAAACUGAUAGCUAAUGUCUUUAUAGCCCUCUAGAAUUUGAAAGAUAAUUUCAGGCUAUUUCAAUCCCCCACCCCACCUUUGCCGUCACCACCAACAAGCUCACAUAUAAGCACUCAUUCCCCCUUUCCCUGACCACGUAGCCAUCAUCCUCUCAGCCACCCUGUGGAGAUAGGUAGUGUUAUAAUCUCUGCUUUGUAAGUGAGAGGACUGAGGCUUAGGGAUGUCAGUAACACAGUUGUUAUGGACUGAAUUUUGUACCCCCUGAAAUUCAUAUUUUUAAUCCCUAACCCAGAAAGUGAUGUUAUUAAGAGGUGGGGCCUUUGGGAGACAAUUAGGUUUAGAUGAGGCCAUAAGAAUAGGGCCCCAUGAUGGGAUUAGUGCCCUUAUAAGAAGAGGAAUAGAUUAGAGUGAGAGGGCUGUCCACCAUGUGAGGACACAGCAAGCAGCAGUCAUCUGCAAGCCAGGAAGAUGGUCUUCAAAAGAACCAAACCUUACUGGUCCCUUGAUCUUAGACUUCUCAGCCCAAAGAACAGUGAGAAAUCAAUCUUUGUUGUUAAAGUCACUCAGUCAGUGGUAUUUUGUUAUAGCAGCCUGAACUAAGAUGCAAGUUCUUAGACCUAGAAGAAUUAAAGACCUAGAAGAGUUAAAGAACAAACAGAGAUGAACGAUACAAUAACUGAAAUGAAAAAUACACUAAAAGGAAUUAAUAGCAGAAUAACUGAGGCAGAAGAACGGAUAAGUGACCUGGAAGACAGAAUGGUGGAAUUCACUGCCGUGGAACAGAAUAAAGAAAAAAGAAUGAAAAGAAAUGAAGACAGCCUAAGAGACCUCUGGGACAACAUUAAAUGCACCAACAUUCGCAUUAUAGGGGUCCCAGAAGGAGAAGAGAGAGAGAAAGGACCAGAGAAAAUAUUUGAAGAGAUUAUAGUCGAAAAUUUCCCUAACAUGGGAAAGGAAAUAGCCACCCAAGUCCAGGAAGCCCAGCGAGUCCCAUACAAGAUAAACCCAAGGAGAAACACGACUAGACACAUAGUAAUCAAACUGGCAAAAAUUAAAGACAAAGAAAAAUUAUUGAAAGCAGCAAGGGAAAAAUGACAACAUACAAGGCAACUCCCAUAAGGUUAACAGCUGAUUUCUCAGCAGAAACUCUACAAGACAGAAGGGAGUGGCAUGAUAUACUUAAAGUGCUGAAAGGGAAGGACCUAUAACCAAGAUUAUUCUACCUGGCAAGGAUCUCAUUCAGAUUCGAUGGAGAAAGCAAAAGCUUUACAGACAAGCAAAAGCUAAGAGAAUUCAUCACCACAAAACCAGCUGUACAACAAAUGCUAAAGGAACUUCUCUAAGUAGGAAACACAAGAGAAGAAAAGGACCUACCAAAACAAACCCAAAACAAUUAAGAAAAUGGUAAUAGGAACAUACAUAUCGAUAAUUACCUUAAACGUGAAUGGAUUAAAUGCUCCAACCAAAAGACACAGGCUUGCUGAAUGGAUACAAAAACAAGGCAUAUAUAUAUAUGUUGCCUACAAGAGACCCACUUCAGACCUAGGGUUACAUACAGACUGAAAGUGAGGGGAUGGAAAUAGAUAUUCCAUGCAAAUGGAAAUCAAAAGAAAGCUGGAGUAGCUAUACUCAUAUCAGAUAAAAUAGACUUUAAAAUAAAGAAUGUUACAAGAGACAAGGAAGGACACUACAUAAUGAUCAAGGGAUCAAUCCAAGAAGAAGAUACAACAAUUAUAAAUAUAUAUGCACCCAACAUAGGACCACCUCUGUACAUAAGGCAACUGCUAAGAGCUAUAAAAGAGGAAAUUGACAGUAACACAAUAAUAGUGGGGGACUUUAACACCUCACUUACACCAAUGGACAGAUCAUCCAAAAUGAAAAUAAAUAAGGAAACAGAAGCUUUACAUGAAACAAUAGACCAGAUAGAUUUAAUUGAUAUUUAUAGGGCAUUCCAUCCAAAAACAGCAGAUUACACUUACUUCUCAAGUGCACAUGGAACAGUCUCCAGGAUAGAUCACAUCUUGGGUCACAAAUCAAGCCUCAGUAAAUUUAAGAAAAUUGAAAUCAUAUCAAGCAUCUUUUCUGACCACAGUGCUAUGAGAUUAGAAAUGAAUUACA